CUACGGGGGGCUCCAGUCGAGAGGCUUCGUCAAUGGGGGCAACCCUGAACGAGCGACGCCGCGUGAGCGAUGAAGGUCGUAAGAUCGUAAAGCUCUGUUAGUGGGGAAGAAACCCCGGGGUGCUAAUACCACCACGGCUUGACGUUACCCACAAAGAAAGCUCCGGCUAACUCCGUGCCAGCAGCCGCGGUAACACGGGGGGAGCAAACGUUGUUCGGAAUCACUGGGCGUAAAGGGUGCGUAGGCGGCCAGAUAAGUCAGAGGUGAAAGUUUCCGGCUCAACCGGGAGAUUGCCUUUGAUACUGUUUGGCUUGAAUCAGAUUGAGGUUGGCGGAAUGUGACAUGUAGCGGUGAAAUGCAUAGAUAUGUCAUAGAACAUCGAUUGCGAAGGCAGCUGGCUGGAUCUGUAUUGACGCUGAGGCACGAAAGCGUGGGUAGCAAACAGGAUUAGAUACCCUUGUAGUC
rnacentral:rRNA from 1 species